AUAUGUGAACUAUGCCAAAGAGGCCAAGCUUUCAAUAUAUGCCCCGGAUUUUAAUAGCAAUAAGACUCGGAAGAAAGCUGGCUUCAUACCAAGGAGGACCCGACCUAGCUCUGGAGCUAGAAGAAAGCUUUUGGGUCAGAGCUCUAGGCCACUGCCGUUGGAUCAGGGUGAGGAUAGCGGUAGCUUGGAGGGAAGCACUGACCCAGUAGAGAGCACUGAUACAGGCAAGAACAUCGAAGCUGGCCUCCACGAAGCAUUGGAAGACCCGAUUAGGCAAGAAGCCUUCAACGAAUAACUGUUUCUCUUUCUGACUCAAAACUCUGUUCAUUUUUCAUGGAUUUUAACUUUUUAGUAUAACUCUUUUGGCACCGUAAUUUUUUUUUUUUUUUGGGAAGACUCCUUUGGCACUGUAAUGCUAUUUGCUGGUUUCUUAA